CACGUAGGGCGCAAGCGUUGUCCGGAAUUAUUGGGCGUAAAGAGCUCGUAGGUGGUUCGUUACGUCGGAUGUGAAAAUCUGGGGCUCAACCCCAGACCUGCAUCCGAUACGGUCGAGCUAGAGUUUGGUAGGGGAGACUGGAAUUCCUGGUGUAGCGGUGGAAUGCGCAGAUAUCAGGAGGAACACCAAUGGCGAAGGCAGGUCUCUGGGCCAAUACUGACACUGAGGAGCGAAAGCGUGGGGAGCGAACAGG
rnacentral:rRNA from 1 species